AGGGCGCAGGGUGGAUGCCUUGGCACUAAGAGCCGAAGAAAGACGUGAUAAGCUGCGAAAAGCUGCGGUGAGGAGCAAAUAUCCAUUGACCCGCAGAUAUCUGAAUGGGGAAACCCGGCUGAGCAAACCUCAGUCAUCCAUACGCCAAUACAUAACGUAUGGAGGGGAACCCGGGGAACUGAAACAUCUAAGUACCCGGAGGAAGAGAAAGAAACAUCGAUUUCCUAAGUAGCGGCGAGCGAAAGGGAAAGAGCCUAAACCGGAGCGCGUGCGUUCCGGGGUCAUGGACUGCAUAAGUGAGUCAGAAGCUAGAAGAAAGGUUUUGGGAAAGCCUGCCAGAGAGAGUGAAAGCCUCGUAUUUGAAAGCGGAAGACAGCGGCAGUAUCCGGAGUACCACGAGACACGAGAAACCUUGUGGGAAGUCGGGGGGACCACCCCCCAAGGCUAAAUACUACUUAGUGACCGAUAGCGCAUAGUACUGUGAAGGAAAGGUGAAAAGAACCCCGGGAGGGGAGUGAAAGAGAACCUGAAACCCUGUGUCUACAAGCUGUGGAAGCACCCUACGAGUGCAACCGCGUACUUUUUGUAGAACGGUCCGGCGAGUUAUGUGGUGUGGCAAGGUUAAGCACGGAAAGUGUGGAGCCGAAGGGAAACCAAGUCUUAACUGGGCGAUAAAGUCACAUAACAUAGACCCGAAACCGGGUGAUCUAUCCAUGUCCAGGUUGAAGCUGCUGUAAAAGGUGGUGGAGGACCGAACGCACAUCCGUUGAAAAGGGUGGCGAUGAGGUGUGGAUAGGGGAGAAAUUCCAAUCGAACUCGGAGAUAGCUGGUUCUCCUCGAAAUAGUUUUAGGACUAGCCUGUCAGGAGUCUGCUGGAGGUAGAGCACUGAAUUUUUGCGGGGGCGUCAAAGCCUACCAAUGAAUAUCAAACUCCGAAUGCCAGCCAGAUGCUCUGAUGGAGUCAGACUGCACGAGAUAAGUUGGGUAGUCAAAAGGGAAACAGCCCAGACCACCAGCUAAGGUCCCAAAGUGCGUGUUAAGUGGAAAAGGAUGUGGGAAUUCGAAGACAACUAGGAUGUUGGCUCAGAAGCAGCCAUACAUUCAAAGAGUGCGUAACAGCUCACUAGUCGAGAGUUCCUGCGCCGAAAAUGUCCGGGGCUGAAACACGACACCGAAGCCGUGGACUCGCAAUGCGAGUGGUAGAGGAGCAUUCUUAAAACCGACGAAGCUGUACCGGAAGGAGCAGUGGAGGGAUAAGAAGAGAGAAUGCCGGAAUGAGUAGCGAGAGGAAGGUGGGAAUCCUUCCGGCCGAAUAUCUAAGGUUUCCAGAGUAAAGCUGAUCUGCUCUGGGUAAGUCGGGGCCUAAGGAGAGGUCGAAAGACGUAUCCGAUGGACAACAGGUUUAGAUUCCUGUACCACAUAUAAACAGAACUGUGGGGACGCAUGUGGAAAGCAUAAGCCGGGAAUGGAAAUACCGGUACAAGCGGAAGAGGUGUCAGGCUGGCAAAUCCGCCUGGCAAGCCAAAGACGUGAUGUGGAGCGAAAUAAAAGUAGCGAAGUAUGUGAGCCAUGUGCCGAGAAAAGCCGCUAUUGUUUUAUAUGUGCCCGUACCGUAAACCGACACAGGUGGAUGAGGAGAGAAUCCUAAGGCCGACGGAAGAAGCAUUGUUAAGGAACUCGGCAAAAUGACCCCGUAACUUCGGGAGAAGGGGUGCCCUGUGCAAGCAGGGCCGCAGAGAAUAGGCUCAAGCAACUGUUUAGCAAAAACACAGGUCUAUGCGAAACCGAAAGGUGAGGUAUAUGGGCUGACGCCUGCCCGGUGCUGGAAGGUUAAGAGGAGAGGUUAGCGCAAGCGAAGCUUUGAAUUUAAGCCCCAGUAAACGGCGGCCGUAACUAUAACGGUCCUAAGGUAGCGAAAUUCCUUGUCGGGUAAGUUCCGACCCGCACGAAAGGCGUAAUGAUUUGAGCGCUGUCUCGACAAUGCAUCCGGUGAAAUUGAAGUACCAGUGAAGAUGCUGGUUACCCGCGCCAGGACGGAAAGACCCCAUGGAGCUUUACUCCAGCUUGGUACUGGGAUUCGGUAUUGCAUGUACAGGAUAGGUGGGAGACUAUGAAACGGUGACGCCAGUUGCCGCGGAGUCAAUGUUGGGAUACCACCCUUGCAGUAUUGGAUUUCUAACAUGUGCCCGUGAACCGGGCAGUGGACAAUGCCAGGCGGGGAGUUUGACUGGGGGAAUAUAGUUGUUUCAUUCUCUGUCCCAAUAUUAAAACUCUUGGAUAAAUUUUUUAUUUGUAGCAUCUUUUUUUCCUCCUUUUUUUAUAAAUUCUAAAAUAGAGAGAUUAUUAUAACCAAUAAAUAGAAUUACAAUAAUAGCACUGAUAGCCUUUAAAUCUGUAGGAGCAAGUCCUAUUUCUAAUGCUAAUCCACCUAUAAUUUUAUAAGAAAUAGCUCCUAAAAUAGCUCUAGUUGUUCCAUUUAGUUUUUUUGAAUUUUUUAAAAAAGUAUCUCCUAUUAUAAUAGAAGCAAGAGCUGAAACAAUUAUAGAAGCUCCCAUAUUUAUAUCAGCAAAUCCUUGUAAUUGUCCCAUAAGAGCCCCACUUACAGCAACAAUUCCAUUUGAUAACAUAAGUCCUAAUAAUUUGUAAGUAUUACAGUUAACACCUAGGGAUUUAACAAGAGUUUCAUUAUCUCCAGUAGCAAUUAAUAGAUAUCCUCUUUCUGUUUUUAGAAACAUAUCCAUUAGAAAUUUAAUUAAAAGAACGAUUACUAUCAAAAUCAAAAUUAUAUUUCCAUAAUCAAAAAUAGAAGAGUAAUUAUAUAGAGGAAUAUUAGCUUUUCCAU
rnacentral:rRNA from 1 species